UUCGGUGGCGAUGAUGAAGAGGGUACACCUGUUCCCAUUCCGAACACAGCAGUUAAGCUCUUCGAUGCAGACGAUAGUUGGACGGCGACGUCCUGUGAAAAUAUGUAGCCGCCGAAU
rnacentral:rRNA from 1 species